rnacentral:rRNA from 1 species
AGAGUUUGAUCCUGGCUCAGGAUGAACGCUGGCGGUAUGCCUAACACAUGCAAGUCGUACGAGGGCUUUUAACUCUAGUGGCGGACGGGUGAGUAACACGUGAGAAUUUGCCUUUAGGAGGGGGAUAACAAUCGGAAACGAAUGCUAAUACCCCAUAUGCUUUUGAGUGAAAUGGAUUUAUCUGCCUAAAGAGAAGCUCGCGGCUGAUUAGCUUGUUGGUAAGGUAAGAGCUUACCAAGGCGACGAUCAGUAUCUGGUUUGAGAGGACGAUCAGACACACUGGAACUGAGACACGGUCCAGACUCCUACGGGAGGCAGCAGUGGGGAAUUUUCCGCAAUGGGCGAAAGCCUGACGGAGCAAUACCGCGUGAGGGAAGACUGCCUAUGGGUUGUAAACCUCUUUUUUCAGGGAGGAAUAAAUUGACGUGUACCUGAAGAAUAAGCAUCGGCUAACUCCGUGCCAGCAGCCGCGGUAAGACGGAGGAUGCAAGUGUUAUCCGGAAUCACUGGGCGUAAAGCGUCUGUAGGUGGUUUAAUAAGUCAACUGUUAAAUCUUGAGGCUCAACUUCA